ACUGUAACCCUGCGUUCACACCAAAAGAUGCAUUUGCUGCCCGAACGCGUUGCCGCCAAAGUUUUGACGCGCUGCAAAUCAAGUUUUGCGGCGCGUCAAAAGUUUUGUGGCGCGUCAAAAGUUGAAAUAUUUCAACUCGAGCAGCAUUUGACGCGCCGCAAAAUACGUGAACGCGCCCUCCGCCCGUGCCCGGCAGCGGGCACGGGCAUGCCGCGCCGCAAAUCAGAUUUUGACGCGCCGCAAAUCAAGUUUUGCUGCCCGUUUUCUCGGCAGCAAAUGCUGCGGCAGCAAAGCAGCAACGCGUCUCUACAUUCACUUUGAAUGGGAUCACGACGCGCGUCAACUUUUUGCAUCUUUUGGUGUGAACGCAGGGUGAGAGUA